rnacentral:rRNA from 1 species
GCCAGACUCCUACGGGAGGCAGCAGUGGGGGAUAUUGCACAAUGGGGGGAACCCUGAUGCAGCGACGCCGCGUGGGUGAAGGAGCACCUCGGUGCGUAAAGCCCUAUCGGCAGGGAAGAAAAGCGAACAGGUUCGCCUGGACGGUACCUGACUAAGAAGCCCCGGCUAACUACGUGCCAGCAGCCGCGGGAAUACGUAGGGGGCAAGCGGUAUCCGGAUUUACUGGGUGUAAAGGGGGCGCAGACGGAAGAACAAGUUGGUUGUGAAAUCCCUCGGCUCAACUGAGGAACUGCAACCAAAACUAUUCUCCUUGAGUGUCGGAGAGGAAAGUGGAAUUCCUAGUGUAGCGGUGAAAUGCGUAGAUAUUAGGAGGAACACCAGUGGCGAAGGCGACUUUCUGGACGAUAACUGACGUUGAGGCACGAAAGUGUGGGGAGCAAACAGGAUUAGAUACCCCUGUAC